CUACCAUGCAAGUCGACGGUAACAGGAAGCAGCUUGCUUCUUUGCUGACGAGUGGCGGACGGGUGAGUAAUGUCUGGGAAACUGCCUGAUGGAGGGGGAUAACUACUGGAAACGGUAGCUAAUACCGCAUAACGUCGCAAGACCAAAGAGGGGGACCUUCGGGCCUCUUGCCAUCGGAUGUGCCCAGAUGGGAUUAGCUAGUAGGUGGGGUAACGGCUCACCUAGGCGACGAUCCCUAGCUGGUCUGAGAGGAUGACCAGCCACACUGGAACUGAGACACGGUCCAGACUCCUACGGGAGGCAGCAGUGGGGAAUAUUGCACAAUGGGCGCAAGCCUGAUGCAGCCAUGCCGCGUGUAUGAAGAAGGCCUUCGGGUUGUAAAGUACUUUCAGCGGGGAGGAAGGGAGUAAAGUUAAUACCUUUGCUCAUUGACGUUACCCGCAGAAGAAGCACCGGCUAACUCCGUGCCAGCAGCCGCGGUAAUACGGAGGGUGCAAGCGUUAAUCGGAAUUACUGGGCGUAAAGCGCACGCAGGCGGUUUGUUAAGUCAGAUGUGAAAUCCCCGGGCUCAACCUGGGAACUGCAUCUGAUACUGGCAAGCUUGAGUCUCGUAGAGGGGGGUAGAAUUCCAGGUGUAGCGGUGAAAUGCGUAGAGAUCUGGAGGAAUACCGGUGGCGAAGGCGGCCCCCUGGACGAAGACUGACGCUCAGGUGCGAAAGCGUGGGGGAGCAAACAGGAUUAGAUACCCUGGUAGUCCACGCCGUAAACGAUGUCGACUUGGGAGGUUGUGCCCUUGAGGCGUGGCUUUCCGGAGCUAACGCGUUAAGUCGACCGCCUGGGGAGUACGGCCGCAAGGUUAAAACUCAAUGGAUUUGACGGGGGGCCCGCACAAGCGGGUGGGAGCAUUGUGGUUUAAUUUCGAUGCAACGACGAAGAACUUUA
rnacentral:rRNA from 1 species